CCCCGGCCCCGGCCCGAGUCACGUGGUACAAACAUGUCUGCCCCCAGUAGCUGCGGCCAUCUUGGAGGCCCCGCCGGGAGCAGGGCGGCGCCAUGCUGGACCCACCCGCCGAAGCCCCAGCCCCUAAGCAGCUCCUCAUCAGAAAGAGCGAAGAAAUGGAACCCCGAGAGCUCCGCGGAGGGUGGGGCGCCCCACCCAGCUCUAGCUCCACGUGCACACCGUAGGAGCUGCUCAGAACUUCGGCUCCGUCUUCAGCAACAUGCUCCUCUCAUAGCCUUUUCCUGCGUUGGUUUCUGCAAACUUCAUUCUUUUGGUUGCUGGAUACAAUAACUAUGGAAUCAUUCUUGGUUACUGUAGUGGGCUGAAUAGUGACGCCCCAAAAGGUAUGUCCACAUCGUGGAACCUGUGGGUGCGAUCUGAUUUGGAAAAAAGUGUAUUUGAAGGUGUAAUUAAGGAUCUGGAGAUGAGACCCUCCUGGAUUACCUUUUUUAAGAGAUAAACCAAGAGGAAAAGGCCACGUGGAGAUGGAGUGGCCACAGUCCAAAGGAUGCCAGCAGCAAGGGGUGGGGGCUGGUGCUGAGUAUGACUUUUGUAUUUCAGAGAAUCUAUUUCGGUUGUUCUAAGCCACCAGCAGUUCCAGGACACUAAAGCUCUCUCUCAGACCCCUCAUCCACAGCCUUUGAAAGAUACCCGGAAUGGGACCCCUUACACUCUCUGCCACCACCACCUGCUCUGAACCACCAUCCUUUCUCACCUGGAUUACGGCAAUAACUUGGCUUCCUGCUCCCACCCCAUCCCCUAUCUAGCAUCAACACAGCAGUCAGAAUAACCUGUCAUUCUCCUGCUCAAACUAUUCCCAUAGGUCAGAAUAGAAGCUAAAGGCUUUACAACCAGAAGGUCCUAUCCUGGGCCUUCUCCGGGGGCCCAGUGGUUGGGACUCCCCACUCGCGAUGCAGGGGCCUAGGUUCGCUCCUUGGUGACAAAACUAAGAAUCCCACAUGCCAGAGCUAAGGCUUUGUGGGCAACCAAAGAUUCUGCAAUAACGAUCAGAGAUCCUGCAUGCUGUAAUUUGGGCCUGGCACAGCCAAAUAAGUAAUUUUUUUUUUUUUAAGUGUGAUGAGGAGAAACACAGCAAUGGCAGUGGAUAGGGAGUGGCCCCAGCCUCCCUGUCUCCCAAAAUCAGGCCGCUUCCUUGUCUACCUGGUUUGAUGCUGAGAUUCCAAUGCCUGGAACAGUGCCUGAGUCGUGACAGGUACUCAGUGAGUAUUCACUGAGCGACUGAUAACUCCAUUCCUCUGCCGUCUCCCUAAUUCUCUCCUUUCACACUAGGAGCUCCCACCACUCCCUUGAGGCUAGUCCAGCAAGAUUAUAUUAGUAAACACGCAGUCAUGGUGCUGUAUUUCAGAAGGUAACCCUACCUGCUUUAACAAUAGGCCUCCAAGGAGUCAGAUUUCAAACAAGACAUAAGUAGGUGGCUCUCCUGCACACGCAGACGUGGGCUACCCCGUAGCCACACUGUUCACAAGGGGCUUGUCACUGUGUAGAGAGCUGGGAGCAGGGGAGGAGCUCCAUGGAGAUGGCGCAGCUGCUUCUUGAACGCCUGGACGCAGGAGUGACACACACCACCUCUGCUCACAUUCCUCUGGCAAGAGUUAGUUGUGCUGCACACCUGGAUACAAGGGGACCCGCAAAACGGGGCGACAGGCGAGGCGCCUGCUGUGCGCUCCGGAAAAGGGAGGCGCUCCUGGCCACGAGCUGUCUGCCCUGCCGCAGACACAGCGUGGAGAACGCUGGACGCCAAGGACUGCGGGUGGUGCAGGAGAAACUCAUGAGGUUGCCCAGGAGAUGGAGUAGCCAAGGAGGGCUUCCCAGAGGAGGUGGUACCAAGGUGACUCAGGAGGGAUGAAUAAGAACCUGCUAGGCCAAGAGGAAGGUGACUACCCUGGAGGGAUGGCUGUGUGCAAAGGCUCAGAGAAAAGAGAGCAUGUCAUAACUCGUUCCAGAAAUUGCUGACUGGUUGGUGUUCCUGGAGAACAGAGUUGGAGGGAAGGAAGCAGGAGCCGAGAGGAAACUCAUGCACAAAGGCCGGCUGGUGGUGUGUCCCGAGUGCCUUUGAUCCCGAGGUUGAUGGAGCCUUUUCCUGUUUUCCUGCUAUUGACAGUCCAGAUCCGCAAUUGAGGGUGAAGAGUGUGGAGGAGCUGACAUUUAGGAGGACUGGGACACCGGCUAAGACGGGGCUGCUCACAUCCGCACAACGUGGCAGCUGGCUUCCGCCUGAGAAAACCACCCAAAAGGCCAAAGUGAUGCUGCAGUCUCUGACACGUCCCCCGUCAUCUCCACAGAGCUCGGGCUCACGCGGGGUAGCUCUGACUCACUGCGCGAGGACCACGGAAGGCCGCGCACCCCUGGCGGGAGAAUCGUGGGCUGUCAUGGAGGCUGCGGACCGCGGCUCUCUUGCUGGCCCUGCGGCUGGGAGGGCUGGCCGGGGACGGGCACCCGAGGAGGAGGAGCUGGAGGGGCCGAAGAGUUCUAGCCUGGCCAGCCCUACCCUCCCGUGGACCCAAGCGAGGGGAAGGCCCACGGGGCUCCGUGGGUAGCUCGCCCGUGGCCCGUGUGCAGCGCAGGCAGCUCGCCCGUGGCCCGUGUGCAGCGCAGGCCCCGCAGGUGUUGGGGCUCCUAGGGCACGACCUGAAGGGUCUGUUCAAACGACGCCCUUCCCCCACGGCCCUCAGCUGUCACCUUUGCCAGAAGUCAGAUGACUGUAGAUUCCUGGGUCUGUUUCUAGACCGUCCUGUUCCACGGAUUUGUCUGCCCGACUUUAUGCCAACACUGGAUUAAUUACCGUACUUACGUGGGAGGUCCUGAGAUCUGGCGGGUAGGUUCUCCAACUUUCUCCUCCUCCCGUUCUGGAAGGCCUUUGCGAUCGUUGGCCCUUUGCAUUUCUAUAUAAAUUUUAGACUCAGCUUGUCAAUUUCCACAUAAAAAUUCUGCUAUAGAGUGGAAUCAUGGCAUUUAUGAUCCACUUGGGGAGAAUUUUAUUGAGUUGUACACUUAUGUAUUAUUUGAAUGCUUUUUCAUAUAUGUGUUACACUUCAAAAUAUUUGAUGCCAUUAGGAAAUCUGCUGCCCAUGGCACAUGUGUGUUAAGUUGCUCAGACGUGUCCAGCUCUUUGCAACCCUAUGGAUCAUACUCGGCCAGACUUCUCUGCCCAUGGGAUUCUCCAGGCAAGAGUACUGGAGUGGGUCGCCGUGCCCUCCUCCAGGGGAUCUUCCUAACCCAGGGAUCGAACUCAUGGUGUAUUUUGUAUUUAUGUUACAAGACACUGAGAUUCUUCAAUCGAUUAACAUUAAACUUCUUUCAAAACUUCA